rnacentral:rRNA from 1 species
GACGAACGCUGGCGGCGUGCCUAAUACAUGCAAGUAGAACGCACAGUUUAUACCGUAGCUUGCUACACCAUAGACUGUGAGUUGCGAACGGGUGAGUAACGCGUAUGUAACCUGCCUUGUAGCGGGGGAUAACUAUUGGAAACGAUAGCUAAUACCGCAUAAUAUUAAUUAUUGCAUGAUAAUUAAUUGAAAGGUGCAAUUGCACCACUACCAUAUGGACCUGCGUUGUAUUAGCUAGUAGGUGAGGUAACGGCCCACCUAGGCGACGAUACAUAGCCGACCUGAGAGGGUGAUCGGCCAAAAUGGGACUGAGACACGGCCCAGACUCCUACGGGAGGCAGCAGUAGGGAAUCUUCGGCAAUGGACGAAAGUCUGACCGAGCAACGCCGCGUGAGUGAAGAAGGGUUUCGGAUCGUAAAGCUCUGUUGUAAGAGAAGAACGGGUGUGAGAGUGGAAAGUUCACAAUGUGACGGUAUCUUACCAGAAAGGGACGGCUAACUACGUG